CUCGGCCUUUCGCGGUUUUAACGCCCAAACCUGGUCAGGAUCGGAAGGUAGCAGCCACAAGGGAUGCUUGAGGCAGGCGAG
rnacentral:SRP_RNA from 1 species